rnacentral:rRNA from 1 species
AGAGUUUGAUUCUGGCUCAGAACGAACGCUGGCGGCAGGCCUAACACAUGCAAGUCGAGCGAUUGCAGCAAUGCAGGAGCGGCAGACGGGUGCGGAACACGUGGGAACAUGCCCUUUGGUUCGGAAUAACACAGAGAAAUUUGUGCUAAUACCGGAUAAGCCCUUAUGGGGAAAGAUUUAUCGCCGAAGGAUUGGCCCGCGUCCGAUUAGCUAGUUGGUGAGGUAAUGGCUCACCAAGGCGACGAUCGGUAGCUGGUCUGAGAGGAUGAUCAGCCACAUUGGGACUGAGACACGGCCCAAACUCCUACGGGAGGCAGCAGUGGGGAAUAUUGGACAAUGGGCGCAAGCCUGAUCCCAGCCAUGCCGCGUGAGUGAUGACGGCCUUAGGGUUGUAAAGCUCUUUCACCCACGACGAUAAUGACGGUAGUGGGAGAAGAAGCCCCGGCUAACUUCGUGCCAGCCGCUGC